AUUAGAUACCCGCGUAGUCCCAGCCGUAAACUAUGCGCGUUAGGUGUAUCGGUGACCACGAGUUACCGAGGUGCCGAAGGGAAACCGUGAAACGUGCCGCCUGGGAAGUACGGUCGCAAGGCUGAAACUUAAAGGAAUUGGCGGGGAGCACCACAACAGGUGGAGCCUGCGGUUUAAUUGGACUCAACGCCGGGAAGCUCACCGGAUAGGACAGCAGAAUGAUUGCCGGGCUGAAGACCCUGCAUGACUAGCUG
rnacentral:rRNA from 1 species